GACCGGUUUCGUUCGAACUGCAGACAGGGGCGGAGGAACCACAAGCGGCGCCGAGGCGCCUUGGGGUGGAGUCCGGCCGGCUGCGUCCUUGUCGUUGUGGAUGCGUGCUGCCCGGACCGGGUGCAUGUCUCGCCCGAAUCCGACAGCUAACUUCGCCGGUGCAUGAGAGGCUUC
rfam:Arthrobacter crystallopoietes strain DSM 20117 genome assembly, contig: Ga0074718_11